GCAGGUGUAGCUCAGUAGGUAGAGCGUCGGUCUCCAAAACCGAAAGUCGAGGGUUCGAGUCCUUCUGCCUGUGCCA
rnacentral:tRNA from 1 species